rnacentral:lncRNA from 1 species
CUGGGGGCAUCUUGGAGGCUGGCUUCUACACUCCAUUAAACUAACUCAUAGAGCAUGGCCAGUCCCCCCAUCCAUCUGACUGUAUUACCAUGGAGUGCUUAUUUCUGUCCCAUACAUGGGGACACCAUGAAGGUACCUUGCUAAGUCCCAAUAUAAGGUGCUUGCAGAAUUCCUCUGAAGCAUUCAUUCCAAACUCUUUUACAAGUGAGUGGCCCAAUUCUGCUCUCUAGAGCAACACAGUCUGCCCCCAUUUCAACAGGGGCAGCCUCCAGUUAGUGCAGGAGGGUUCUCACAUCACCCUUCAUGUCUCUCCUCACAGGGUCUUUGACUGUUUCCCAAGGGAGUGUUCUUCUGGAGUUUGCUUCUGGAUUCCUCACUCUCUGCGAACCUUGUUUGUGGAUGCCCCUCAAAAAUGCAAUGCCCGGCAUUAGAUGCACAAGCCCAGGCAAUUAAAAUGAAGACUGUUUCCAUGCGGGCCCCCGUGAAAGGGAUUCCUGUGUAUCUCAAGCAACAAAGAGAGCUGUGGAGCAAGGAGAUUCCCUGUGUAAUCGGGAGCACUGGAUGUGAAUCCCAGGUCUGGCAUGGGAACCUUGGAAUACUCAGUGAGUGAUGCUGAGUGGAAUGUUACGUAUCACCAUCAUCAUCAGCAUCCAUCCCACCACCAUCAUCACAACCACCACCACCACCAUCAUCAUCAUCAUCAUCAUCAACAGCUUUUUCCAAGCAAGUCUGGAAUAAGAAGAGAAGUCGGAGGAUUUAGGCUUUGUACUUCCUGGCAGCCCCAGCCCCUGAGGCUCAUGCGAUCCUGCUCACCUUCUCUCCCUGACCCCGAACCCUAAGGGGCUCCCGCACUCCAGAUCGUAGCUGGCUCUUCUCUAUUCUUUUCCUUAUUCCAGCCAUUAGAGUCUUUUGGGACUGGCUUCUCAACCUUUGUCACAUUGGGCUUGAUAUUUUUAGUUUCUUUCAGUGGUAAAUAUUAGAUUAUUCAGAAAAAUUGUUGUCCCAGAUUUCCACACAUGAUGGUAUAGAUACAGAAUAUACACUUAUAAAAUAAGCAGAAAUGAUAUCUCAUGAACAUUUGCUAGAAUUGAAAUAGAAGAGGUGCAGGCAGCAUCCCCAUAGCUUAAAAAUGAUCUGCUAAGAUGUGGGCAUGACUUUUCCCCACAAAACUUGCCACUCAUUUGAUAUUAUAGUGCGGGGGAAUAGUCUUCCUGACAUUUUAGUGGUUGUUAUUGCUGUAUUUUUUUUUUAGGGCAUAUUUUUUUAAGGGGAGAAAAUGAAGAAUAUGUAAGGAAAAAAAUCAGUACUUAGCUGGGUUACCUUUUAUUCUUAGGACAUUUACUUGUUAGCAUUACAGUCUUAAAAUAGUCUUCUACCAAAUACAUUACCAACAGGCAUUUCCAAAAUGCUGAGAGUACUCUAUCUAGUCUCAAAUUCUCAAGUUCAAAAAAAUGGAAUGCCAGUUCCUCCAUGGGCUGACACAGCCUCAUUAUUAUGGCCAUAUUUAUUUACUUAUUUAUUGUAGUAAAAUAUACAUAAUAUAAAAUUCAUCAUUUAAACCAUUUUAAGCAUACAGUUCAGUGCCUUUAAGUACAUUCACAUUGUUAUAUAAUCAUCACUACUAUCCAUCUUCAAAACUUUUUUUAUCUUCUGCAAUGAAAACUAUGUACCCAUUUAAUAAUAAUUCCUAAUUACCCCUACCCUCUGCCCGUAGCCACCACCAUUCUACUUUGUGUCUCUAUGAAUUUAACUACUGUCAGUACCUUAUGUAAGUGGAUUAGCGCCAAAUUUGUCUUUUUGCGAUUGGCUUAGUCACUUAGCAUCAUGUCUUCCAGGUUCAGUCAUAUUGCGGCAUAUGUCAGGAUUUUCUUCCCUUUAGGGUAACACUUAUUGAGCUCUUACUGCCUACCAGGCCUUGUGCUAUGCGCUUCAACAGACCUCACAAUCACCCUAUGAGGUAGGGAGUCUCACUAACUCCAUUUCACAGAUGAAGAAACUGAAGACAGGAAUGUUUAGAAAGCUGCCUGAUAUGGUUUAGCUCUGUGUCCCCACCCAAAACUCAUGUUGAAUUGUAAUUCCCAGUGUUGGGGGAGGGACCUGGUGGAAGGUGAUUGGAUCGUGGGGGUGGAUUUCCCCCUGGCUGUUCUCGUGAUAGUGAGUGAGUUCUCACAAGAUCUGAUGGUUUAAAAGCGUGUAGCACCUCCCCCUGCACGCUCUCUCCUGAUCUGCAAUGGUCAGCUGUGCUUGCUUCCCCUUCGCCUUCCACUAUGACUGUAAGUUUCCUGAGGCCUUCCCAGUCAUGCUACCUGUAGAGCCUGCAGAACCGUGAGUGAAUUAAACCUCUUUUCUUCAUAAGUUACCCAGUCUCAGGUAGUUCUUUACAGCAGUGUGAAAACAGACUAAUACAGUGCUCUACUAGUUAGCAAUGGUUGCUAACUAGUAGAAGCAGGGAUCUAA